rnacentral:rRNA from 1 species
CAGCCGUAAACUAUGCUCGCUAGGUGUCAGGCAUGGCGCGACCGUGUCUGGUGCCGCAGGGAAGCCGUGAAGCGAGCCACCUGGGAAGUACGGCCGCAAGGCUGAAACUUAAAGGAAUUGGCGGGGGAGCACAACAACGGGUGGAGCCUGCGGUUUAAUUGGACUCAACGCCGGACAACUCACCGGGGACGACAGCAAUAUGUAGGCCAGGCUGAAGACCUUGCUUGAAUCGCUGAGAGGAGGUGCAUGGCGUAGACGUCU